AUAAGGAGUCGGACCUGCCCAGUGAUGAAUUUAAACGGCCGCGGUACUUUGACCGUGCAAAGGUAGCAUAAUCAUUUGCCUUAUAAUUGAAGGCUAGUAUGAAUGGUUUGACAAGAAUAAAGCUGUCUCUAUUGUAAUUAUGUAGAACUUUAUUUUUAGGUGAAGAAGCCUAUAUAAAAUUAAAAGACAAGAAGACCCUAUCGAGCUUUAAAGAAAUUGAUAAAAUAAAAAUAUAAUAUAUAAAUUUACGUUUGUUGAAAAUUUUGGUUGGGGCGACUGAGGAACAUAUAAAGCUUCCUUGUAAGGUAAUUACAUACAUGUAUUGAUCCAAAAGUUUUGAUUAAAGAAAUUAGUUACCGUAGGGAUAACAGCAUUAUCUUUUUUGAGAGCUCAUAUCGAAAAAAAGGUUUGUGACCUCGAUGUUGGACCAGAAUAUCCUAAAGAUGCAGAAGUUUUUAAGGGUUGGUCUGUUCGACCAUUAAAAUUCUA
rnacentral:rRNA from 1 species